rnacentral:rRNA from 1 species
UACGUAGGGGGCAAGCGUUGUCCGGAUUUAUUGGGCGUAAAGAGCGUGUAGGCGGCCAGACAGGUCCGUUGUGAAAACUCGAGGCUCAACCUCGAGAUGUCGAUGGAAACCGUCUGGCUAGAGUCCGGAAGAGGAGUGUGGAAUUCCUGGUGUAGCGGUGAAAUGCGCAGAUAUCAGGAGGAACACCAAUAGCGAAGGCAGCUCGCUGGGACGGUACUGACGCUAAGGCGCGAAAGCGUGGGGAGCGAACAGG